ACAUUGCCUCAAUCAAGUGGAAACGCUUUGGACGAUGCCCCGUGCAUAGUCAUGCCACCAAUCUGAGGACAUCAAUGGGAAUGCCACAUGGAACACGUGGCUUUCAACUCCAACGAGCACACGGCACAGGUUGGCGUCACCGUGGGAUAUCAUGGCAAAGACCCAAGUCGACUGGACCACAGCAGAAAAUGAUCCUUCCAGAGAAGAAGUUGUUUACUUCUACAAUGAAUGGAAGAGUUACAACUUCCUGAUGACAGCUCUCCGCUCAUCCUUCAGGGAAUACAUCUUUUUGUUAUUGUGGUCAUCGUGCCUGAGACCCGUAACAAUUACUCUGCGAUCUCCACCUGUCAGGAUCAGUUGCUGAUGCAAGCGGAAGGCAGGACUCAGAUGCAGGAUACUCCCAACUGUGCUCUUUAUUCGGAACAGAACUCAAACGGAACGUGCACC